UUGGAGGGCAAGUCUGGUGCCAGCAGCCGCGGUAAUUCCAGCUCCAAUAGCGUAUAUUAAAGUUGUUGCAGUUAAAAAGCUCGUAGUUGAAUUUCGGGAUUGGCACAUCGGUCGUGCCUUAAGGGGCAUGAACUGGUGUAGCCAAUUUCUCACCUUUUGGAGAACCGCGAUGUCCUUAAUUGGGUGCCGCGAGGAACCAGGACCUUUACUUUGAAAAAAUUAGAGUGUUUAAAGCAGGCAUUUUGCUUGAAUACAUUAGCAUGGAAUAGUAAAAUAGGACGGAUGAUUCUAUUUUGUUGGUUUCUAGGACCACCGUAAUGAUUAAUAGGGAUAGUUGGGGGCAUUAGUAUUCAAUUGUCAGAGGUGAAAUUCUUGGAUUUAUUGAAGACUAACUACUGCGAAAGCAUUUGCCAAGGAUGUUUUCAUUAAUCAAGAACGAAAGUUAGGGGAUCGAAGACGAUCAGAUACCGUCGUAGUCUUAACCAUAAACUAUGCCGACUAGGAAUCAGACGAUGUUAAUUUUUUAAUGACUCGUUUGGCACCUUACGGGAAACCAAAGUGUUUGGGUUC
rnacentral:rRNA from 1 species